UACGUAGGUGGCAAGCGUUAUCCGGAAUACUGGGCGUAAAGCGCACGCAGGCGGUCUUUUUAAGUUUGACGUGAAAGCUCCCGGCUUAACUGGGAGAGGUCGUUGAAUACUGGAAGACUUGAGGCAAUGAGAGGGGUGUAGAAUUCCCGGUGUAGUGGUGGAAUGCGUAGAUAUCGGGGGGAAUACCAGUGGCGAAAGCGGCACCCUAGCGUUAGCCUGACGCUCAUGUGCGAAAGCGUGGGGGAGCGAACGGG
rnacentral:rRNA from 1 species